AUUGAACGCUGGCGGCAUGCCUAAUACAUGCAAGUCGAGCGAAUGAAGGGAGCGUUUGCCUGUAUGCAGCUACCGACGGGUGAGUAAGUCCUAGGAAGCUACCUUGUAUUUGAGGAUAACGUCCCUACACGGGCGCUAAGACCACAUACGUCCUUAUUUAGAAAGUGAUGGAUCUUCAGAGCUCGCCGUAUUUGAUGUGCCUAGUACGUAUUAGCUAGUUGGUUGGGUAAAGGCCUACCAAGGCGACGAUCCGUAACUGGGCUGAGAGGAUGAUCAGUCACACUGGAACUGAGACACGGUCCAGACUCCUACGGGAGGCAGCAGUGGGGAAUCUUGGACAAUGGGCGAAAGCCUGACGCAGCAAUGCCGCGUGUGUGAAGAAGGUCUUCGGAUCGUAAAGCACUUUAAGUUGGGAGGAAGGGAAGUAAGUGAAUCCCUUGCUGUCUUGACGUUACCAAAAGAGUAAGCCCCGGCUAACUUCGUG
rnacentral:rRNA from 1 species